rnacentral:rRNA from 1 species
UACGGAGGGUGCGAGCGUUGUCCGGAAUCACUGGGCGUAAAGGGCGCGUAGGCGGCCAUCUAAGUCGAACGUGAAAUCCCCGGGCUCAACCCGGGAACUGCGUCCGAUACUGGUUGGCUUGAAUCCGGGAGAGGGAUGCGGAAUUCCAGGUGUAGCGGUGAAAUGCGUAGAUAUCUGGAGGAACACCGGUGGCGAAGGCGGCAUCCUGGACCGGCAUUGACGCUGAGGCGCGAAAGCCAGGGGAGCAAACGGG